ACGAACCCCGCCCCUCCUGACCUGCCUGCUCUUGAGCCUCUCCGCCUUCCACACAGACGACAAUGGGGACGGGACACGGCGGCGCGUCAGCUUCCCAUGCUCGCCGCAGCCUUCCGGCCCUGGGACGCCAUCGGGCAUGUCGCUGCCUUCCCCGCCCGACCCGGACCGCGGGCCCCGCCACGACCCCAAGCCCUCGGAAGACAACGGGGGUCCCCAAGCCAAUUAAGGUCGAUGACCUCCCGCGCUCGCGCGCCAUGGUUUCGACGGGGAUGUGGAGGACGGCCGCUGGACGAGGCGGUCUAGGGCUUCUGACGACGAGACGGAGGACGACCGCCGGCGGAGGCGUCCUAGGGCCUCAGACGACGGGUGGGAUGACCAUCGCGACAAGCGCGACCGUGACCGGCGGCGCCGCCGUCCUAGCACCAGCUCGGAGUCGCGAAAGGUGCACCGGCCGGCGUGAACACCUCCUCCGGUCAGCGUGUUGGCUUCACGCGAUAAGGCGGGCGCCUCCACUCUCAUGCCGCCGUGAUUACUCUUCUGCAGGUCAGCCAGUGCAAAGGCGUGAACGAUUUCAGUAUUCAUCUUUGAUCUAUGUGUUGUGCUUGUGUACUGGACGUGUUAUUCGUCUUUGCUGGUGCUUUUCUACCGUUUAAUUUGCUUCGUCGGUGGACAAACGAGGUUACUGGAAGAAGGGUUGCCUGGGACUGGGAGGUUGCCACCUCCAGCAACGUAGAGGAGGGGUGUUGCCGUCCACCACAUCAUCUGGCUUGUCCCCAAAAUUGUUGAACUUCUGCUCCUGAGGAGACAAAAGGGAUGCAGCAACGGGGUGAGGUGAUCAGAGUGAUGUAUUGAAGCCUCCCGUUCCACAUGUUCAGUAGUUGCACCUCAACGUCACUUUUGAGUAGAUACUACUCGACCUUGGGAACACGUUGUGAUGCUUACGGAGGAGAUUAAGAAGGCCACCGGUUCCGUCCCUGACGUCGAGGUUACCAUCUGGUAAUUGGUAAUUUUGAUUAGUAGAUGUAUUUCACUGCGUCAUCUGUUUUGGAGUUACCUUUUAAAAUUUUAGAUCGUAGAUCCAAAGAAUGCAUCUUGCCUCAUUGUUCUAUGACAAAUCGGUUAUGCAGUUAGUUUUUCUUCACAGGUUAAUACAGGAUUUGCAUCUCAUGACUAUAUGGUUUGUAAAUCGAUUAUCUUGUCAGCAUUUCUUCACAAUUAUGAUGUUGCAUCCCCGUGCUUCUCUUAGCUUGCUGCUCAUUGCAGGUUGCAUAUCAGCUCUUUGUGAUAAUAAAUUAUGCUUGCAAUAACCGAUCAGAUGGAACGGUUACUAAAGUUUGCAACAUUUGAUCUUUAUUGUCAAAGAUAUAAGGAGCCAAGUAAGUGCCUUCUACUGUGUCUUUUGGAUUACUUGAUUGAUAGUGCAGCCAACUUUGAGUUUGCAACUCUUUUAGGCUGAUGAGAUUUUUUUAAUCUUAUAUAUGUACUUUCAGGGUAGAGGAUUGCAACUAUAUUCAUGUAUAAUUAAUGCAAACUUCCAAGGCUUUUCAGAUGGAUGUAUUAACUAUUUAUCUCCCAUUCUAUUUACAAUGCAUGAAAUUCCACCCUUGGGUUCCUCUAUGGCAAGAAAUUAGAAUUUUUAUGAUAUCUUUGGCUCUUUCUAAAUGAAACAUGUCAUGUAACUAUGGUCCCUGAGGUAGUACAAUAUAAAUUAAUUCCCUAUAUUUCUAUGAUUUAUUAUUGGAACAAAUAUUGUCAUCACAUUAGCCUAUGUGGUUAUGUUAUUGUAGAUUGUUACGUUCUCUGAGCAUGCCUACUAGCAUGUCACUUCAAUAAUUUCAGGAAAGCAUAGAAGCCAUUGUAUCUUCUUACAUCAAAUAUAUGGUGAAUGCUCACAACACAAAUGUAUUGUAGCAAUCCACAUGAUUUUUCACAUUUACUAAAUAUUUCAAUGAUUAGUCACGGAUAUGUUGCACUGUUUGCAUUAAAAGUGCACUAAGCAUAUGAGUGUCAGUGUGAUUUCAUUAAUAUAUCACUGAUUAAACAAUGUUCUUUCUUCCAUUUCCAUUGUUUAUUUUCAUUUUGUGUGCUCAACUAUAUAAAUUAUCUAUAUCCUAAAAUGUGUUGCAGUAAUGCAUAGGAACUAUUACAUCAUGCUACUUAUCACUUACAUUCUUGUGUUGUGCAGAAAGCUUUGAUUAUUUAACCUUGCUCGUGAAAAGGGGGAAAUUUGAUUGUUUAACCAUGUUGUGCCAUGAGAUUUCUUCCCCUUUUUAGUGGUGCCAAAUGAAGAUCCUUUUAGAUUGCAAUACUUCUAUGCAUGCCUUCAGCAUGCCUGGAUGUGUCUACAUCUGCAUUCCUUAAGUGUAUGAUGGCAUCAAGACUGGUAUAAUCUAGGAAGGAUAUUUUAGUUUUUGUACACUAUUACAAAUUGUGCUUUCUGAUGAACUUCAUGUAAGAUGUAGCUUCUUCCCAGGCGCCAAGGCUUCUCUUUUUUUUUGGUUUGGUUC